ACAUUACAGCAAUAUUGGGAGGUAAACUCUCCCAAACAUACAAAUAAGAAUGGGAACUAGCAGUCUGCGCAAUGUUAUGGGAUACCGUUGCCUUGUCUUCGAACCCAACUUAUGGAUACAUUAGCUCGAAGUGCCAGCAGAGUCCUAGGACAUUCAAUAAUGAAUCUGAACUCAGAACAAUCUUCCCCAUUGGUCGUUAAAGCAUUUUUUACCAUUUGUGUGUCUACUUCGACAAUGCUCGACCAAGUGAUAUUCGAGAUUAUAUAUUGCAGUGAAUUACGGUAGUCAAGUAGUUCAGUUAGAUAAGGAGAUCGGCACCCUCAUAACCUAUCAGAGAAAACUAUCAAUACUCUUUCUGUUGAGUCUCGGACGACUGCUCCCUAUCCUACAUUAUAACUUGCAUAAAAAAUUGUACUGUUCACAUUGCAUUUCCAGACCCAGGCGAUGGAGCUUCUCACGGCAAGGACCUUGACUUGGUGCGCGAGAGUUGUACCUUGCCUCUGUCUAUAACUUAAUGUGCAUGUCUCCGUUCAUACGAAAACUUCCUCGUUAGAAUGAUGGAGGUCUACCUUCAAGUCCACAAAAAUUCAUUCCGCUCAAGUUAGAGGCACCAUAAAUAGCAAAGUAUCUCCGUUAACUCCCGCUUUACCAUUUUUUUAGCUUGAUGUUCCAUCUGUUUGAAUACUUCUUGGUCUGUCUUACCUAGAAAUGUAUACCUAGUUUUUGCCAACAAGCCCUGGCUUUUUUCACAAUCAAAUAAGACAUACUCGGUGGUUUCCUCCUUGUCACAUCUAGGGCGCACGUUCACAAUUCAAAUCCCUUUCUCCUGCAGUUUAGAUUUUACCAGAGGGAUAUUAUUCAAUAAUCUCCAUGUGAAAUUCUUAAUUUUGGGGGGGACUUCUAACUGCCACAAAUACUUUCACAUGUUAAAUGAUCAUUGUGCAUGGUUUGCAUGGAAACCCAUCAAAUGCUGGUAUGCCAAUUUUACGAUGUAUUUACCAUCCUUCAAGUGACUCCAAAUACAUUUGUCAGCCCUGCUUCUCAGGCUUAUUGGAAUACUCAUAAUGAGAUCGACUUCUUCAUCCACAAUAGACCCCUAAGAUUUCUGUCGACAUUUAUUUUUAUUUAUUAAAAAGUUUCAUCUGAU
rnacentral:lncRNA from 1 species